rnacentral:lncRNA from 1 species
UCCCAGAUUUUUCUUCUUCCUGACAGCCGUGGGCAGGGGCCCACGGCUCCCCAAUCUCACUUCCUUCUCUCACAGCCAUCAUCAGCCCUGCCCCUCUCAUCGCCAUUUCCCCUGCCAUUUCAGCCUUCCACCUCUGCCUCUCCACCCUCACAGCAGACCAGCCACAAGCCUCACGUCUGCCCCUGACAUCUCCCCCCUGGAUUUUCUUCUCUACUCCCUCAACUGCACAGCCGGCCCUUUCCCCUUGAUUUUUUUCCUCUCAUCUUCUUCCCCUCAGCAGCCGGCACAAACAGCAGCCCAGCCCUCCUAGACCCAUAUAGACCCAGCACCAGCUCCCACAGCACCGUUUCCCUCCAGCUUCUUCACCCAAAACCAUCCUUCCAUCUCCAAUUUUCUGCCCACUCAAGACAGCCCCUCACCUCCUCUCUUACUCCGAUCUUCACUCAUCAAUCGGCCAUAGACCAACAACAGCCACGAAUUAGCUCCCCCUUCCACAGAUCCUCUCUCUCAGCUGCUCCCUUCUCCAGCCGCAGCGGCGCCUUCUUCAUCCGGCAGCACCCAGCAGAGCCUUCCUUCUCCAGCUCCUCCCUCACAAAUCGCCCUGCAGCCGACAUCCAGCAGCGAGACCCAAGACCAACAGCAGCGAAGGAAGACCAUCAACGCCGGCCCCCAGCGGUGGCAGCAGCAGCAGCAUCGCCCACAGGCGCGGAGUAGUCCGCCUUCUCCCUCCGGUGGCGCCUGCAGUUUCGGUUUCCUCAACUCUCUCCUCCUGAACCAGCGGCCAGCUCGCCGCCUCUAGCAGCAACACCACUCUCUCGUCUGUUCCUCCUUGCCGCUCCAGCACAUGGAGCAGAGGAGAAGAAGAGGAUGACCGAAGGAGACCGAUCUGCAGUGAAGCAGAUCCAAAGAACCCGAACGAACCAGAUUUGAAAAGGGGAAAGGAAGGGAAGCCGAUCUGAAAACAAGAUUAAAACAGACUUGCUUGUUGCGUUUUGUUGUUUUGCAGGUAACGGCGUUGUCGCCGCCGGCAAGGAAGAGAAGAGGGGAGAAAGCCAUUUCUGGCCCCCCUGUUUCUGGUUUGAUUUCACGGCGGCGCGUGGACCCACGCGCCGCCAGCGGCGGUGGUGCGUGAGAUCCACGCGCCGCCACUGUCCUUGCUGUUCCAGAGGUCUUCACAGCACUAUUCCAGCGACUCAGAGGUUACCAGCACUGUCCCGGAUUGUUUUGGGUCAUUUUUUGGAAUUUUAGAAUUGUUUAAUGUUAUAUUUGUGUAAUUUUGAGUUUUUCUUUUCAUAGUUUGUAUUUUAUAUUUUAUGUAAAUGUGGAUGUAGAAGAAAAGAAAGAAAAGAAAAGAAAAAGAAAUGUUUGUGUGUGUUUGUUUUUUUUUUAUUUAUAUUAUUGAAUUAAAAAAAAAAAAGGACAAAAAGAAUUAAUUGUUAAUUUAAAUAUGCACAAAUAUCUAAAGGACAGAUAAAAAUCAUGUUGUAUUUCCCAUAAAAAUGUAGAACAUGUAUCUACAUAUAUUUUGGGAAUGAAUAACUGAUUUAUCAAAGCCUUAGAAUUGGGCUAAAAUUUUAUUUUUAAAAUGCAUCAAGUCCACGAAGCAGCUUACCUCAGGUAGGGUGUGUUAGGGGUGCUAAUACCUUCCCUAACCACAACCAGUCCCUUACCCAUGAAUCUCUGACAAGACCAGUAUAUCCGGUUUCCUAGUAGCCCGCAAUUAAUUACUAGGUGGCGACUCCAACGAACCAAGUAAAACGAACAACGAUAAAAUCGCCAGCCGAUGCCGCGCGGAUUUUUUUGACGUGCGACAGAAUGGCGACUCCGCUGGGGAAGGUAUUGUUUCUGACGAUAUUGGACUAAGCUUUGUGUAUUUGAUGUGUUUAUGUUUUUGCAUUUUUGUCUUGUUUUAUUUUUGUUUUAUUCAUGCAUUUUGUAGAAUUGUCUCAUGCAUCACAUAUUUUGAUUUUUCAAAGCACACACAAGCUUCAGGUUAGGAGGGGGACUAGCAGCUUACCUUAUGACUUUUAGUCAAGGUUUAAGUUUGUGUAAACCCCAACUCUUUGUUGAGUGCUUAGACUGGUAAUAGUUGGACAUGUGCCAUCUCAUUGCCUACAAGCCCCCAUAUUGCCUCCACGAGGGCAAUCACUGGGACAACAAGAGACCCUUUUUAGAGACCAAGUAGUAAACCUAUCUUUUGUCUCACUUAAAAAGAUUAGAACCUGCCUUUAGGAUGUGUGCUCCGUAUAUAUUGUUUUGCAUCAGGGCAAACCCUUCUUGAAGCAUCUUGAACUCAAGACUUUUGGGUGACCCAAUGGCCGUCACUCAGAAAAUUUUCAUUGUAGAGUUUGGGCAAGAAUCAAGAUUCUUGUUUCAUCAUACAAGAGUUACGACCAUAUGUCACCCCUCGAAGGGCGAGUUCUUCAUAUAGUUUACAUGUUCAUACAUUUAUCAUGCAUGUACCGGGAGGAAAAAUAGGUUCCCCCAUCCGAGCUUUGCUACACCUGAUUGAACAAAGAUGAUGAGAAAUGAAGAAAGGAGUCAAAGAGAAGCUCAUUAUCAAAGGGGAGUUGAGAGCAUCAAAGUAGCUAGACUCAGAUCUCCCUAAACAAGUGUUAAGCAUCAAAUGGAAAGAGAAUGUCUGCACAAUCUUCUGUGGAAACACUGCUUGUCCACGUCCAAGUGAAGCUGCACCUCUCCAUUUCAGUCCUGAACAACAACAGCAAUGCCUUCAGUCAUCAACUAAUGACAACUCUGUUCUUGUUCAGUUGCCCUGUUAAUUGUUCAUCGCCUCCACAUCUUUCAAUGGCACCAAAUAAUUGCUAGCCUUCUGUGCAUGAUGCAUUAGCCUUCUUUGAGGUUACCCUCACUGUGAGCUUAAUUCCAGUUCAAAAAAAAACAAAAAACAAAAAAAAAACAAAAAAAACCAUGAUUAGACACUGAACUUCAAUGUGGCAGAGCUCUCUCUACAAAAAUCUGUUUAUGGCUCUGCAAGUUGGGAAUGCAAGAGGGGAUUUAUAAGUUGCAUAUGCUAUAAAAAUCUCUCAUCAGUUUCAGCACAAAAACACUACAGUAGGUUGAAGAGCCAGACAUGGUCUGAAAAACAUGAACAAACACCAAACUUCUACGUUGCAGAGCUCUCUCUGUAGAGAUUGUUUUGGGGAUCUGCCAGUGGGGAAUGCAAGAGGGGAUGCAGUACUUUCAUAUGCUACAAAACUUUGGCUCAUCAGUUUCAGCACUGAAACACUGGAGUAGGCCGAAGAGUCAGACCUAGUCUGAAAACAUGAGCAGUCGUCGAACUUUGACGUGGCAGAGCUCUCUCUACAAAAACCUGUUUAUGGCUCUGCAAGUGGGGAAUUCAAGAGGGGAUGUAGUAGUUCUAGACAAUGUGAAAAGUUACCCCACCAGCUUCAGCAUCGAAACACUGUAGUAGGCAGAAAAGCCAGACUUGAGCUAGAAAACAGGAGCAAAUAUAGAACUUCACCGUGGCAGAGCUCUCUCUGCAGAAACCUGUUUGUAGAUCUGCAAGUGGAGAAUCCAAGAAGGGAUGCAGUAGUUUCUGAUCAUCUAUAAUUUUCUCUCAUCGGUGUUAGCUUGAAAAUGCAAAAGAAGGGAAAAGAGACAAACCUCGGCUGAAAAAUAGAAAGAAGAUUGAAACUUCAACAGAGCAGAGCUCCCUCUACAGGUGUCUGUUUGCUGCACCAUCAGUGAGGAAUCAAAGAGGAGACAAAGGAGUUUCAGAUUCAUCAGUUUCUCCUCCAAUAAAAACAAUGCACAUUUCAUGCAGUGACAGUGAUAGCGCUGCAUGAUUCUAUGCGCUGGCAAGAUUACCUAGCUGUUGGAAGGUUUCCAACAAUCCACAAAGGACCACAACAACAUUGGAAGAAUGACAUGAUGUUGUGAAGAUCAUCAAAAGAAUUGAGCUAGCUGUCAAGAUGGGAAAGAUUGAAGGAUCUGCCAUGGAUUCCAGAACUGUGAAGAGAUGAAUCAGGAGAUGACUCUGAAAACGGGAAACCAUAGUUAUGUGGUUUAGUCAAGUCUCACUGUAGCACCAGCUACUCAAGUGUCGUUGCCAAGAUUGACAUCUUUCUGCCACCCAAGUUGGACUACUAGCAUCUGUCAGAUUCCAGACUUUUUGCCUAACUCUGUUAAAUCCCAUGCAACCACUGUUUCUUAUGUGAUCCAAACAAGAGAUUUGAAUAUCAUGGGGGGAUUUCAGGCCAUUCAGUUGAAUAAUUGCAAGAAUCGAGUCCGCAAAUUGGUGAGCAAAAGACGAGAGGAAUCUGUGAAGGAGCUUGUCAUCGAUCAUUUUAUCGCCAGAACAUCCUCAGAAUGACGAGUGAUCGAAAUUGCUCGGUAAACACAGAUAUUGCCAGAAUAGUUGAUCCAAGAAGGGCGUUGAACUGUCAAUCAUGUUGUUAUGGAAUUUUUGCCAUUCUGCAUUUUGUUUUGGGGUCACAUCUCAUCCUUGAACGAAACAUGUCUUUUCUUUGUCUUUUUGUUGUUUUGAAAUCAAGAGAUGCUUCUUUCAAAGGGUAUUUUGACAAAAAUAUUUUUUUGAUCAAACUCCAACAUACAAAAUUAAAGCUAGUCAAUCCUGAAGAUUAAAAGUGUUUUGAUUGCGGAAAUGACUUGAUGCUUGAAAAGGACAUGAGGUGACCAAACAAUUUUGAACUCAUAUCUCCUGAAACUGAACAACACAUCAUAUAACUAAGUUUUAGCAGUAUGCAUAAUGACAUGUAGUGGAUUCGGUAGUUAUGGACUCGUGAAUCAUGACUCUUACAAGUCCAAAUCAUUACACUAGAUGAGGUCAAAAUUUAUCGAUUCUAACCGACUUUGCUUGAAAUGAGAAAAGGCCAUCUUCGAUAUCCCUUCACUUUCUAAAGAUUAUAUCCCUUGCAGUCCUAUUUUGAGCCUGGUAAAAUAUUCUCUUUCAAAAAGAAACCUUGACUAGGAUCACACCCCACACUGGGGGCAAUGAGAGAUAUGUUAUUAGGAAGGAUGAAGACACUGAUAGAAUCAAUGAUAAAAGAAAGGCUUAGAAUAAAAGCCCAAUGAUUGAGAAAGGGAGAACAAGAAAAGCCAUAGAUUGAGGGUCAUCCAAGAAAACUUUGAGGAAGGUUAUGUAAAAGCAAAAAAAAAAAAAAAAGGUGGAAAUGAAGGAGAAUGCCUAUCAAUUCUAAGAGGGGCAAAAAAGGUUUCAAUGGAAGAAAGACACAACAAAUGUCAAAAGUCAACACCAAAAAAAUCAAGUUUCAUGUCUUUUGGUGUGUCUAGGAUAAAGCCUUUAGUGUCUUCAAAAUUUUUUAGAUUCAUUAUUCAUCAGAGAUAAAGUUGGAUUAGCAUUAUGACCUAUGUUAAGAGAAUUCUGAUAUUUGAGAUAAACAAGGUUAUAUAUCACUUUCUCUACUAUGACAACAAGAGAAAGAGAGUUGAUGAAUAGUUGAUGUUGAUCUUAGGUCUUUGAAACCCUCAAACACCUAUUGAGCUUUGAAAAUUCCUUUCUUUCAUAGCCAUGAACCAUAGCCUACAUUACGUGCUCUUAAAAGCCCUUUUUAAUCAAGUAAACAAUUUGAACCGAUAAAUGGCGCUCUAAAAAACUUGAAGAGUUGUUCUAUAAGGGUCGUGACUUCAUGGAUUAAGCUACUGGUUAUUAUGCAUGCUGAUAAAAUUGAUGCUAAAAAAAAAAGAAAACAAUCUUUCUUGAUGAAUCCUCAAGUUUUGACUUGAGCCUUUUGUUUCUUGAAAUUCACAGAAGGUCACCUCAUCGCAGACCAUCAAAAGAUAUACCCAAGAUCAAAGAUUAAAACUGACAAAGAACCAUGAAAAAAAACCAUUUUAGUCUUACAACGGGUCAAUUUCUGUUUUCAAAAUACAUGACAAUCAAAGGACUGUAUAUUUCGAAUAACGUGUGUUGGAUCUUUGGCCGAAGAAACUUGAUUUUCAAAAACUAACAUCUCUCUGAUUUCAUUUCAACAACUAGACUUUGAAUUGACAUGAUCUUUGAAAUAUGAGAGUUGAUUCCAGAACAAGAAAGAUUGUUAAACAACAAGAACAUCGACCGAAUUUGCAAAAUCCUUGACAAGAAUGACAACAACAUUUCUCGACACUCCUUGAAAAGUUGACUGCUUGGAGGUAAUACAGUGGAUCAUGGGUAGGAAAACAAACAGUAUUCAGAUCAGCUGGGGGCAAUGAAAGAUGAUCAAAGGAUGAAUCAAUGCACUGAGGACAAUGGUGUUUAAAGAAAGCUAAUCAGCAGAACAAGCACAUUCAGAUCAUUACUCGGGGCAAUGUUGUUCAAAGACAGUCAGUGAUUUAGUGAACUUCAGCAGCAAUUGAUGAGCAACGCUGCACUUGAAGGGCAUUUUAUUAUCUUCAUCUUGGGGUUACCCUUUGAAACAUGGCUAUGACAGAUGUUAUCUCAUAGUUGCAUUAGAAUGAAUGUCAGAAAGAUGCACACCACCAAGACUGACUGUGGGACCAUCUAUUCUGAAGCUCAAAUGCGCACUUCACCGCAUGAAUAUGGGUGAUGAACAUCAUUGAUGAUGCCAACACAUUUCCUUUCAUGAUCUGAUUUGACAAGCUGAGAAGAAUCCAUGGAGAAGAACAUUGAGCUUACAACGAUGAGCCUUUUUUACUGCAAGAGGAUAAUUCUUAGAAGGAUCCAGGAGAGAAAAUCCUUCACGAUGAAUCAAGCAACACCACACUUGGGGGCAGAGUCAAGUGAUAAACAGCAAGAGCAGUAACCGUCGAAGACAGCCCAGGAUGUGCACUGCACUUACAACUGAGGGGAUGGCUAGCACAUGAAUGAGCCAAUGCAUCGAAAGAACCAAUAAAGCUUUGGAAUGCAAACAAAGGCACCCUAUAACGAUGGAUCAUCAAAGGGAGGGGCCUAUAUUUCACAUCAGGUAAGGAUGCAUGCAUGUCAUCUAACCUCAAAGCAUUGCACAUACUUGUGAUUUGUUACAGAAAGAUCCUCAAUGAAGUCCAGCAAGAUUAUGGACAAAGAAAGAAUCAUUGAGUCGAUAAUAACAGAGAAUCAUGGUUGUGACCUUGAAACGGGAAGAAGAUGAGAUAAACCUUACUGUUAGGAAAAUCUCAAAGAAAUGAAAAGAUCAACCUUGCAAUCAGAAAGCAUCGAGUUUUCAAACCCUGCGAUCAAGAAUUAUCAAGAAGCACCAAGUUUUCUGCCCUUCUUCUAUCAUCCCUUCAGGACUUCGCCAGGUAAGUCCCAUUUUUCACACUUGUCACAUCACAUCUUUCAUUUGGGUAGGUCACCCAUAACAAUGAGACCAUUUCAUAUUUUUUCUAUCCUCCACCUGGGUAGGUCACCCAUUACAAUGAGACCACUUCAUAUUUUUUCUAUCCUCCACCUGGGUAGGUCACCCAUAACAAUGAGACCACUUCACAUUUUUUCUAUCUUCCACUUGGGUAGGUCACCCAUAACAAUGAGACCACUUCAUAUUUUUUAUAUCCUCCAUCUGGGUAGGUCACCCAUUACAAUGAGACCACUUCAUAUUUUUUCUAUCCUCCACCUGGGUAGGUCACCCAUAACAAUGAGACCACUUCAUAUUUGUUCUAUCUUCCAUCUGGGUAGGUCACCCAUUAUAACGCGACCACUUCACUUUUUUUCUAUCUUCCACCUGGGUAGGUCACCCAUUAUAACACGACCACUUCACAUUUUUUCUAUCUUCCACCUGGGUAGGUCACCCAUUAUAAUGAGACCGCACUUCACAUUCUUUCCGUUUGGGUAGGUCACCCAUCAUAAUGAGACCAUUUUCCAUCAUUUUUUCUUGGGUUCGUCACCCAUACAAUGAGACCAUCAUUUUUUUCUUGGGUUCGUCACCCAUACAAUGAGACCAUCAUUUUUUUCUUGGGUUAGUCACCCAUACAAUGAGACCAUCAUUUUUCUGGGGUUCGUCACCCAUACAAUGAGACCACCAUUUUUCUUGAGUUCGUCACCCAUACAAUGAGACCACCAUUUUUCUUGGGUUCGUCACCCAUACAAUGAGACCAUCAUUUUUCUGGGGUUCGUCACCCAUACAAUGAGACCAUCAUUUUUCUGGGGUUCGUCACCCAUACAAUGAGACCAUCAGUUUUCUUGGGUUCGUCACCCAUACAAUGAGACCAUUUGUUCCACAUUCUUUGUUUUGGUUUAAUGAGGUCGCCAGAUGGGAUCUCAUGUAGCUUUGGUUAAAGGGAAUCGCCAGAUGGGAUUUCAGGUUAACCGAGUUACGUAACAUCUUUUAGUUUUGGUUUAAUGAGGUCGCCAGAUGGGAUCUCAUGUAGCUUUGGUUAAAGGGAAUCGCCAGAUGGGAUUUCAGGUUGACCGAGCUACCACACAUUUUUUUAGUUCCAGUUGAAUGAGGUUGCCAGAUGGAAUCUCAUGUAGCUUUGGUUAAAGGGAAUCGCCAGAUGGGAUUUCAGGUUGACCGAGCUACCACACAUUUUUAAGUUCAAAUUGAAUGAGGUCGCCAGAUGGGAUCUCAUGUAGCUUUGGUUAAAGGGAAUCGCCAGAUGGGAUUUCAGGUUGACCGAGCUACCACACAUUUUUUAGUUCCAGUUGAAUGAGGUCGCCAGAUGGGAUCUCAUGUAGCUUUGGUUAAAGGGAAUCGCCAGAUGGGAUUUCAGGUUGACCGAGCUACACACAUUCUUUGGUUUUGAAAAAGGAGAUCGCCAGAUGGGAUCUCAAGUUAACAAAAAAAAAAAAAGGAAAGAAACAUUUAGAGUUUUUCUUUACAAAGCUUACUAUGCGAAACAUUGAGGAGUUUUGCUUCGUAAGCAUUGUAAAGAGGGGGCAUCUGUUGCUACCCAAUUUUUGACCCAUGUUUUGAUAAAUUUUUAAAAAAAUUCAAAAAUAGCGAAAAACAUUGAAAACCCAAAAAAUACAUUUUUUAUAUAUUUGCAUCGUUUUUAGCAUUUUCAGCGUCGUCUAAAAAGAAUUUAAAUUUUCAAAGGUCUUUCGAACGCGUUCAACUUUUAACGCGUUAAUUUUAAAAUCAUUGAUUUUCCUCAUUGAGUCGACGUUGAUAUUGCUCGUUUUCAAAAAUACAAAAAAAUUAAAGAAAAUCAAAUUUAAAAAAAAAAAAGAAAGUUGAGGAAUCAAGUUUGAGGUCCAAACAAUAUUUUGCGGAAUUUUAAAUAUCAGAGGGGGAGGCAACCAGCCGCUCCCCCUGGCCCAAGACCAUUGGAUCCCUCUCUUUCGGCUGAAAAGCAGGAACUCAGCUCCCCACUUCUUUUCCUUUUUUCCAGCCGACAACAGGCCCUCCUCACAAGGAGGAACCCCUAUUUCUUGUCAUCUCCAGCUACACACCAGAGGGGGGGGAUAGUCCCAGAUUUUUCUUCUUCCUGACAGCCGUGGGCAGGGGCCCACGGCUCCCCAAUCUCACUUCCUUCUCUCACAGCCAUCAUCAGCCCUGCCCCUCUCAUCGCCAUUUCCCCUGCCAUUUCAGCCUUCCACCUCUGCCUCUCCACCCUCACAGCAGACCAGCCACAAGCCUCACGUCUGCCCCUGACAUCUCCCCCCUGGAUUUUCUUCUCUACUCCCUCAACUGCACAGCCGGCCCUUUCCCCUUGAUUUUUUUCCUCUCAUCUUCUUCCCCUCAGCAGCCGGCACAAACAGCAGCCCAGCCCUCCUAGACCCAUAUAGACCCAGCACCAGCUCCCACAGCACCGUUUCCCUCCAGCUUCUUCACCCAAAACCAUCCUUCCAUCUCCAAUUUUCUGCCCACUCAAGACAGCCCCUCACCUCCUCUCUUACUCCGAUCUUCACUCAUCAAUCGGCCAUAGACCAACAACAGCCACGAAUUAGCUCCCCCUUCCACAGAUCCUCUCUCUCAGCUGCUCCCUUCUCCAGCCGCAGCGGCGCCUUCUUCAUCCGGCAGCACCCAGCAGAGCCUUCCUUCUCCAGCUCCUCCCUCACAAAUCGCCCUGCAGCCGACAUCCAGCAGCGAGACCCAAGACCAACAGCAGCGAAGGAAGACCAUCAACGCCGGCCCCCAGCGGUGGCAGCAGCAGCAGCAUCGCCCACAGGCGCGGAGUAGUCCGCCUUCUCCCUCCGGUGGCACCUGCAGUUUCGGUUUCCUCAACUCUCUCCUCCUGAACCAGCGGCCAGCUCGCCGCCUCUAGCAGCAACACCACUCUCUCGUCUGUUCCUCCUUGCCGCUCCAGCACAUGGAGCAGAGGAGAAGAAGAGGAUGACCGAAGGAGACCGAUCUGCAGUGAAGCAGAUCCAAAGAACCCGAACGAACCAGAUUUGAAAAGGGGAAAGGAAGGGAAGCCGAUCUGAAAACAAGAUUAAAACAGACUUGCUUGUUGCGUUUUGUUGUUUUGCAGGUAACGGCGUUGUCGCCGCCGGCAAGGAAGAGAAGAGGGGAGAAAGCCAUUUCUGGCCCCCCUGUUUCUGGUUUGAUUUCACGGCGGCGCGUGGACCCACGCGCCGCCAGCGGCGGUGGUGCGUGAGAUCCACGCGCCGCCACUGUCCUUGCUGUUCCAGAGGUCUUCACAGCACUAUUCCAGCGACUCAGAGGUUACCAGCACUGUCCCGGAUUGUUUUGGGUCAUUUUUUGGAAUUUUAGAAUUGUUUAAUGUUAUAUUUGUGUAAUUUUGAGUUUUUCUUUUCAUAGUUUGUAUUUUAUAUUUUAUGUAAAUGUGGAUGUAGAAGAAAAGAAAGAAAAGAAAAGAAAAAGAAAUGUUUGUGUGUGUUUGUUUUUUUUUUAUUUAUAUUAUUGAAUUAAAAAAAAAAAAGGACAAAAAGAAUUAAUUGUUAAUUUAAAUAUGCACAAAUAUCUAAAGGAC